rnacentral:lncRNA from 1 species
AAAAAACCUCUUUCUAAAAACCUAGAGAGAGAAGCUCCCACUUCUCUCUAGGAAUCUCGCCGGAGAAGAAGGUGGGGGAGGGGCGGCCGGAGCAACUCCGGCGUGGUGGCCGGAGCGCCGCCGCGCCGGAGUUUUUUUUUUUUGCUUUUUUUCGAAAAUUUUUUACAUCAAAAUACUCCUCUUCCCCUCCUCUACUCGAAUCCAAGCUCAAAAUUUCGAAACCAUACACCAAAAAUCCUAGAUCUACAAAUGAAAAUGUGAAAUUUUUACCUCUUUUUCCGGUCCCCUUCUUUCCUUCCGGUUCGUUUCUGCUCCCUUACGGUCCGGUUCCGCUUUCUGCUCCGGUUCGGCCUGCUUGCUGUUCUGGUUCGGUUGUGUUGUUGUUGCUCCGGUCCGGUUGUGUUGUUGUUGCUUGUUUGUGAUUUGUGUGGUUAUAUGAAUAGUUUUGAGGUUUUAGUAAAGUUUUGGUAUUGCUGGAUUUUGAUGAAUAUAUGAAUGUUCUUCAUGUGUUCAUGUUAUUUCUUUGUAAUUUUUAGUGUUUGAUCUGAAAAAGGGUUGGAAAAGUAGAAAAUGAGUGUUUGUGAAUUGCUGCUGAUUUUUUGACGUGAACAGUGACUUCUGGCCCAUUUCCCAAUGAUUGACAGGGUUUUUAUAGUGACAAACUAGGGUUGGCUCUGGUACAAAACAAAGACCAAAAUGCCCCUGCAGCUGAGACUUGGGGACAAAGGCUUAACAAAUAAAUAAAUAAAUAAAAAUAAAAAGAAUGAAUAAAAAGAAAAAGAAAAAGAAAAGCAAAAGAAAAAGAAGAAAGGGAAGACGUAUGUCUUCUUCUUUUCUUUGUUGUGUUUUUUUUUUUAUAAAAAAAUAAUAAUAAUAAAAUAAAACAAUAAUAAACAAACUAAAAAAGACAAAUAAAAAAAUAAUAAUAAAAUAAAAAUAAAAAAAAUAAUAAAAAAAUAAAAAGUCCCUUCGGAAUCUGACAUGAGGUACUUCAAAGUAUCCUCCCUGCCGAAAUUUCGAUUGAAAUGAUUAAUAAGAAAAGACGCCUUUUAAAAAAAAAAAGCGAUUAGGCCUUCUCUUUUUUGACGUGAUCGUUACGAUAAAAAAAACUAUGCGUCGUAAAAACGAAAGUGAGACGGUUUUUAAUUGUUGUGAAAUGCG